GAUAUCACAAUGACAGCACACUCUGCAGCGUUCCAUCCAAAAGCAAAUGAUCCAAUGGCCCCAUCUAGACUGGAGACACCAACUCAUGACUCAGCUGGCCUUGUGGCCCACACCCAGAAGUGGACUCAGUGCAUGAGGACUAUUUUCCACACUCCUAUGAUAGCAUCCCCAACCAAUCAGCAGGACCAUUUCCUAGCCCCUUGCCCACCAAACUAUCUUUUAAAAAACCUGGCUGGGCGCAGUGGCUCACACCUGCAAUCCCAGCACUUUGGGAGUCUGAGG
rnacentral:lncRNA from 1 species